GUGCUCAUAGCUCAGCUGGAUAGAGCAACGGCCUUCUAAGCCGUGGGUCUGAGGUUCAAAUCCUCAUGGGCACGC
rnacentral:tRNA from 1 species